AGAUUGAACGCUGGCGGCAGGCCUAACACAUGCAAGUCGAGCGGUAGAGAGGUGCUUGCAUCUCUUGAGAGCGGCGGACGGGUGAGUAAUGCCUAGGAAUCUGCCUAGUGGUGGGGGAUAACGUUCGGAAACGGACGCUAAUACCGCAUACGUCCUACGGGAGAAAGCGGGGGACCUUCGGGCCUCGCGCCAUUAGAUGAGCCUAGGUCGGAUUAGCUAGUUGGUGAGGUAAUGGCUCACCAAGGCGACGAUCCGUAACUGGUCUGAGAGGAUGAUCAGUCACACUGGAACUGAGACACGGUCCAGACUCCUACGGGAGGCAGCAGUGGGGGAAUAUUGGGACAA
rnacentral:rRNA from 1 species